UACGUAGGGGGCAAGCGUUGUCCGGAUUUAUUGGGCGUAAAGAGCGUGUAGGCGGCCAUACAGGUCCGUUGUGAAAACUGGAGGCUUAACCUCCAGACGUCGAUGGAAACCGUAUGGCUAGAGUCCGGAAGAGGAGAGUGGAAUUCCUGGUGUAGCGGUGAAAUGCGCAGAUAUCAGGAAGAACAGCCGUGGCGAAGGCGGCUCUCUGGGACGGUACUGACGCUGAGACGCGAAAGCGUGGGGAGCGAACAGG
rnacentral:rRNA from 1 species